CGAACCUGGUUGAUCCUGCCAGUCGUGAUAUGCUUGUCUCAAAGAUUAAGCCAUGCAUGUGUAGGUAUAACCUGUAUACCGGUAAACUGCGAAUGGCUCGGUAAAUCAGUUAUAGUUUAUUUGAUAGUGCAUCCUACUCGGAUAACCGUAGUAACACUAGAGCUAAUACGUGCGUAAAUCCCGACUUUUGGAAG
rnacentral:rRNA from 1 species